rnacentral:tRNA from 1 species
GGCGGUGUAGCCAAGUGGUAAGGCAGAUGACUGCAAAUCAUUUAUCCCCCAGUUCGAAUCUGGGCACCGCCU